GCAACGCGAGAACUUACUACCCUUGACAUGUCCGGAACUUGCCAGAGAUGGCUUGGUGCCCGAAAGGGAAUCGGAACACAGGUGCUGCAUGGCUGUCGUCAGCUCGUGUCGUGAGAUGUUGGGUUAAGUCCCGCAACGAGCGCAACCCUUAUCAUUAGUUGCUACGCAAGGGCACUCUAAUGAGACUGCCGGUGACAAACCGGAGGAAGGUGGGGAUGACGUCAAGUCCUCAUGGCCCUUAUGGGUAGGGCUUCACACGUCAUACAAUGGUCGGUACGGAGGGUUGCCAAGCCGCGAGGCGGAGCCAAUCCCACAAAGCCGAUCGUAGUCCGGAUUGUUCUCUGCAACUCGAGAGCAUGAAGUCGGAAUCGCUAGUAAUCGCAGGUCAGCAUACUGCGGUGAAUACGUUCCCGGGUCUU
rnacentral:rRNA from 1 species